GGAGAGGUGGCUGAGCGGCUGAAAGCAGCUUCCUGCUAAGAAGUUGUCUGGGGAAACCUGGACCCUGGGUUCAAAUCCCAGCCUCUCCG
rfam:Candidatus Omnitrophica bacterium CG1_02_44_16 cg1_0.2_scaffold_3742_c, whole genome shotgun sequence.